CCUACGGGAGGCAGCAGUAGGGAAUAUUGCUCAAUGGGGAAACCCUGAAGCAGCAACGCCGCGUGGAGGAUGAAGGUUUUCGGAUUGUAAACUCCUUUUGUUAGAGAAGAUAAUGACGGUAUCUAACGAAUAAGCACCGGCUAACUCCGUGCCAGCAGCCGCGGUAAUACGGAGGGUGCAAGCGUUACUCGGAAUCACUGGGCGGAAAGAGCGCGGAGGCGGGAUAGCAAGUCAGAUGUGAAAUCCUAUGGCUUAACCAUAGAACUGCAUUUGAAACUGUUAAUCGAGAGUGUGGGUGGGGUAGGUGGAAUUCUUGGUGUAGGGGUAAAAGCCGUAGAGAUCAGGAGGAAUACUCAUUGCGAAGGCGACCUGCUAGAACAUAACUGAAGCUGAUGAGCGAAAGCGUGGGGAGCAAACAGGAUUAGAUACCCGGGUAGUC
rnacentral:rRNA from 1 species